GUGCAGGAGUCAGUCCCAGUCAGGACACAGCAUGGACAUGAAGGCCCCUGCUCAGCUCCUGGGGCUCCUGCUGCUCUGGCUCCCAGGUGCCAGAUGUGACAUCCAGAUGACCCAGUCUCCAUCCUCCCUGUCUGCAUCUUUAGGAGACACAGUCACNAUCAAUUGCCAGGCCAGCCAGAGUGUUAGCAGUUAUUUAAAUUGGUAUCAGCAGAAACCAGGGAAAGCCCCUAAGCUCCUGAUCUAUAAGGCAUCUAGUUUGCAAAGCGUGGUCUCCUCGAGGUUCAGUGGCAGUGGAUCUGGGACAGAUUUCACUCUCACCAUCAGCAGCCUGGACUCUGAAGAUGUUGGAACUUAUUACUGUCAACAGUAUAGUAGUAGUCCUCCCACAGUGUUACAAGCCCUCACAUAA